CCUACGGUGGGCAGCAGUGGGGAAUAUUGGGCAAUGGGCGCACGCCUGACCCAGCAAAGCCGCGUGAGCGAUGAAGGUCUUCGGAUUGUAAAGCUCUUUCGCAGAGGACGCAGCAUGACGGUACCCUGUAAGAAAGCACCGGAAAACUACGUGCCAGCACGGGGGGUAAUCAGUCGGGGGCUGGCGUUGUCCGGAAUUACUGGGCGUAAAGGUAGUGUAAACGGCUUGUCAAGUUAAGUGUGAAAUCCUGGGGCUUAACCGUAGAAUUGCACUUAAAACUGACUCGCUAGAGUGCAGGAGAGGUGAGUGGAAUGCCUGGUGUAGCGGUGGAAUGCGUAGAUAUUAGGAGGAACACCAGAGGCGAAGGCGGCUCACUGGACUGUAACUGACGUUGAAGCACGAAAGCGUGGGGAGCGAACAGGAUUAGAUACCCUUGUAGUC
rnacentral:rRNA from 1 species